CCUCUCACAUUUUUUUCCCCCUCAGAGGCAGCCAGACUGCCGAGCGAGUGCCCAAGGCAUUGUGGGAGUCAUGAUUCCAAGAGGCCCGCGAUUUAAAAUUGAACUUGUCAGUUCCCGGUCACGGGAGCAUUGUGAGCGCCACAACUCAUUCAGCUGCAGUGAAAAGACUGUUGCAUGUCGCUGUGCAGCCUCUUAUCGCCGAGGUCUGGUUUCCGCUGCUGCUGCGCGGCCCCUCCCCCGCCGGCCCAGCCCCACCAGGAAGCCCUGGGCGGACUCCGCGAGCCCCGGAACGCACGCGGCGACAGAAAAAAAAAAAAUGCUCUUCAACUUUCCGCCGCCCGGCGGCUCAGCCCCCCGCCACCUCGCCACCCCUCAAUCUAACAAGAGUCCGCCGGGGGUGGCGGUUGCCACUCGCCCAUCGGCGCAGAAAGCAAAAGGAAACCCGAGCCGGCGCUGGCGCGGUGCAUCCCCGCCGCCUCCCGGUGGUAUCUUCCAUCUUAUACGUUCAACACUGUAACCUCCGAGCUAUAGUGCCCACGGGACGCACCCCUGCUACUUUCUGAUCCUUGAGACUGGCUGGGCAGACAGAUAGUUUAGGAGCAAACGCUACCUAUCGUGUGAUGUUUCUACAAGUUUGUUAGGUUGUUUUAAAGAUGGUGGGGACGGCUGAAGGAGGAGAAGGAAAAGCAUCGUGAAAGGUGCCGAAGUACAAAACUACUUCUAGAGGUAUUAAUAAUGACUUGAGUUCUCUACUCUUGGCUACAUCCACAAAACACUGAGUUAAUAUUGUGUACUGCUCCCUUCCAGAACAAAUACUUUAAUUAAUUAGAUGGUGCCGCUUCUCAGUAUUAAUCAUGAAAAAGUACCCAAGUGCACACCCAGUGGAAGCAAAUUUAAAAGGAAACCGACACUUUCUCAAAGGACAGGGAUGGGCAUUCUCUAUCUGCCAAUUAGGAGCUACCCCAAGCAAUGAGGACUUCCUUUCUUCUAAUUCAGCAUUCAUUUCAACAACUACAUCAAUAGCCUGCUAUGCCAGAGAUUCAAGAAUGGAUAACAACAUAGAGUCCCUCCCCUCAAGAAUACCUCUACUAGGGAAGAGACUGGAGAAAAGACAAAUUAAUUAAUUCUGGCUGAAGGAUAAAUGCUAAAAUGAUGGGAGGCAAGACCAAGGUGCUUUCAAGUAGAGUCAAGAAGGCUUCCUGGAGGGGUUGUUUUAACAGGUGCCUUAAAGGGGGGUAUAGAAAUUAUCAAGAUGCAUAGAGAGGUGAAUCCAGGUUCUGUGGGAAAAGAGCCUGGCAAAUACAAUGGAACUGCUAGUCUUGGGGUUAGAAGUGAGCUGGAUACUUGUAGGAGAGUGGCAGCAAAGUGAACUAAAAGUAGGUCUGUAUUCACCCAAGGAGUCUCAGCUUUACUCUGAAAACUGUAAUAAUCUAGAUGAGUUUAAUCAGCAAAGAGAUAGGUUGAAUUUGGACUUGUAUUUCAGAGGGAUCCUGUGGCAGCAGCUUGGAGAGUGAAUGGGAGUGUGGGGUGGAGGCUGAUGGAAGAAGGGUGAAUGGGUGUGGACAGACUGGAAAAAUGACUCAUGCAGGGAAUGAGGAAGGGAGGAGCCUUGGGAGACUCCCAAGUCCCUGGCUUAACCUACUGGAUUGUUUGCUACUUGCUUUUUAAUUUUGCCUCCAUUCUCCAUGACAACAGAGACUGACUUCAGAGCUGGGCCACCUGUGCAUGUGCUAGCAGGUUGGAGGCCUUGUCGGCUUCCACACGCCUCUCCUCAGAAUGACCAGUGAACCGCCAAGGGCUAAUCCCAGUUGUAGGAACUUCUUUUCAAUUGUUCUCAGACCCUUGCAGACUUCCAAGUCAGAGCUUUGGUGUUCUUUUUUCAUGUGGGCUAGAAAAUUUGCUGUUUGGAGCAACAUGAUGAAAAACAAGACUUUGAACCUGUGUAUGGUGCCAGAGGGGAAACUAUUUUUCCACUUCAACACUGGAGGAGGGGGAAGUUCUGGGAACAAAAGAGAAAUUGAAACUGAGACAAAUUUUCUGCUCCACUGCACAGAAUACAAAGAAAUACAAGAAAGACCCUUAAGUGUUAGGAACAGUAGAAUAAACAUCCUAGUAAAUGACAAAGAAGAGGGAAAAAAUGUUAUUCACACUAGUAAAGGAAAAAGGGGUGGCUAAGAAAACUCAUACAAAGCAGUUUUCAACCCAGGACUCCAAAGUGAGUCCAAAUAAAUUGUGAUAUAAAACUUCAUUAUCACUGGUCUAGCUUAAUUUAUUGUCAUUGAUAAUACCAUAACAUGAAUAAUGACAUUUAACAUUUCGAAGCAGUGUAGCAAACACCAGAUCCUAUGUUAAAAAUAUUAAAUCAUAUGGCCAGCUUUCACUACCAGUAGCAUGCUAACCACAUUUCAAAUUGUGAAAAUUAUUAAAAAAUCAUUAUCGUAAUAAAAAGUAAAUAGUUCCCCAUUUAGAAUACCAAUCAUAUUCCCUCAGUGCUAGGAUAGCAUUAUGGUUUCUCUUACAUCUAUGAAGUGUAGUUAUAGUCCAUAGGCUCAAGAGUGAGUGCAUCUAUAAGUAUAAAAAGAAUGUCAUUUGUGGGUGGAGAGGGAAAUUAUAGAGAACAAUUUUAGAUGAAAUAAAACUACAUGUUAAGAUAAAGGAAAGAAUAUUCACUGCAGGUUUCUGAAAUAUUUUAGACCAUUCAAGUUUUAAUUAUACCAAUGAAUCCCCGUAGAAAUACAGUUAAGGAAUAUGGUUUUUAGAGAUAACAUUAACUACCUGGUUUACCAAUAAAAUAGAUAAAGGAAACAGUAGCAUUGAUCUUUUUCAUUCAAGUGGGAAUCUUUACAGCACUGUGUAAAUGUGUGUGUACAAAUUGUAUGUUUCUUGUCAUACACACCACAUUUAUAUAAAGUAAGCUCUCAUAGCCGUCUAAAUAUUAUUUCCUUUUUCUGCAUCGUCCCCCUCAACUCAUCAUCUAAAUGAAAAUACCCUUAGAAGUUACGCUCUUUAAACUCGAAUUAUGAAAAGGUCUUGAAUCACAGAUCUAGGAAUGCUGUUUGUAUUAUUCUGAAGUAAAAAUAAUCCAUUGGAAGAUAGUGUCAAAACUAAGAUUCAAAUUCGGGCACCGUGAUUUUUAACCCAUGUUUAAAUAUAGAUGGUUAAGAGAAGCUGCUGGAAGGCAAUGAAGAAUUGGAAACACUCCCAUAUGGUGAAUCCAUUUUAAGUAUAUGCAUUAAAUGUAUCUCCAUUCAGUUUUACAGCAGGGAAGAGGGUUGAAGCAUUUUUCUGUAGCCUGGAUUCUAACCUGUUUAGGUAUCUGAAUAAAUAUAUUAAUAUUUGAUAGAGUUAUAUGAAUUUAGUUACCUAAAUUUAGUUUAGGAUUUUUAUAUAUUGCACAUAUAAGUAAGUUUUAAAAAUCAUACCUAGUAUUUAAAUAUUAAAAAUAUAUAUUCUAUUAUAUAUUAUGUGUAUGUAUAGUAUGUUAUGUAAUAG
ensembl:lncRNA